GUGGGAUAAGAUCAAUUAUAAGGAGUAUGUCUAAUUUACUUUCGAAAGUACGGAGUUCGUCAUAUUUGUAAGUUGUUUUCGAUGAUAGAAUGUUUGAUUCGGCGAUCGGCUCCGUUAGGUAUAAUUUACACUGUUGGAACUAUCUAAAAAUCAAAUUUCAAAAUUUUUCAACAUCAUUUACCAAGUGAUCAAAAAGUCUCCAAAAUAACUAUUUUAACGGUUAAUGUGGCACAUUUUAAAGUUAACGGUGUAGAACAAUCCAAAUUACAUAAAAAUUUAACAAAAAAAUUCUACUUAACAUCAAUAGCAAGAUCAAUGUUUCUGAUUUGAAAUUUGAGUCUUUUAUCACUAUUUUUUAUGAGAUUUUUUAUUUUCAACCGUUCAUUUUGAGGUUACUUAUUUAUUAGACAAAUAAAGUCAAAAAAUUAUAAAAUUUGAUUUAUAGAUAGUUCCAAUAACGUAAAUCAUGUCUAACAGAACCAAUUACCGAAUCAAAUGUUCUAUCAUCGAAAAUAACUUACAAAUACGAAAACCUGCAUACUUUCGACAAUAUUGGAGCCUAGCUCUAAUU
rnacentral:lncRNA from 1 species